rnacentral:rRNA from 1 species
GACGUAGGGCGCGAGCGUUGUCCGGAUUUAUUGGGCGUAAAGAGCUCGUAGGCGGCUUGCCGCGUCGACCGUGAAAACUUGGGGCUCAACCCCAAGCCUGCGGUCGAUACGGGCAGGCUCGAGUUCGGUAGGGGAGACUGGAAUUCCUGGUGUAGCGGUGAAAUGCGCAGAUAUCAGGAGGAACACCGGUGGCGAAGGCGGGUCUCUGGGCCGAUACUGACGCUGAGGAGCGAAAGCGUGGGGAGCGAACAGG